CUUUAACUGAAGCCAGUUAUGAUGAGAGUUCAUAACAUUUAUUUACUUAUUAGAGCCGUGUUGAUGACAUCUGUGAAGGAUGAAUGCACUUUUUGGGGGGUUUAUAAUAGUAGAGACCUGUUUUACCAUUAUACAGCUUGGAAGAUCAAAGACAAAUGUGCUCGUCUUAAAGAUGAUGGAGUGGACAUAUGUAACUCGGAUUGCUCGAGACAGAAACAUGAGAAAAACAGCACUGAUCAGAAUGCAGACAGUGCACACGGUGGGGACAACAAUCUCUGUGACCAUCUCCAUGUGGCUGAUUAAUGGAUCUGAAACAAACACACACAGAGAUGAAUUCCCUUUAGUACCUUCACAAAGUGGAGCAGGCGGCGAAAUCCCCAUGGCACAGAGUAAAGCCACUCUGAUCCAGGGUCAGGCCAGCGUGGAUCCACCAGCUCAGCAAGGUCGCGGUCGGUAAA